rnacentral:rRNA from 1 species
UACGUAGGGGGCGAGCGUUGUCCGGAAUCAUUGGGCGUAAAGCGCGUGUAGGCAGCUCGGUAAGUCUGCUGUGAAAGUCCAGGGCUCAACCCUGGGAUGCCGGUGGAUACUGUCGAGCUCGAGUCCGGAAGAGGCGAGUGGAAUUCCUGGUGUAGCGGUGAAAUGCGCAGAUAUCAGGAGGAACACCAAUGGCGAAGGCAGCUCGCUGGGACGUGACUGACGCUGAGACGCGAAAGCGUGGGGAGCAAACAGG